GAUCUCCUUCCCCGACUGGUACCCCAGAUCAGGUUCCCUUAAGCUGGGAUUCCCCAGAGGAGUUUGGGAGGGAAACCCGGGCAGAUCCGACCCUCCAAAGAUACAAGGACAGGGCAGAUGCUGGGGAGGAAGGAAUAGAUGGGGAACGGUAUGAGUGGGUGGGGGACAGGUUGUAUAGGAUCCCUAAACCUUCCCAGAAGAGUGUUGCCACUCCGCCGAAUCGCCAGUUAGUGGUACCUGCAAAGUACCGGCAGGAUAUUCUGCGGAUAGGGCAUGAUGUUCCUUUAGCUGGACAUCUAGGGUCCCGCCGCACAGCCUAUAGGAUUUCACAGAACUUCUUUUGGCCAAACUUUAACCAGGCUGUGCGGAUGUACUGCAGCACGUGUGACACAUGUCAACGGGUAGGAAAGGGGGG
rnacentral:lncRNA from 1 species